rnacentral:misc_RNA from 1 species
GAUGAAGAACGUAGCGAAAUGCGAUACGUAAUGUGAAUUGCAGAAUUCAGUGAAUCAUCGAAUCUUUGAACGCAUAUUGCGCUCUUUGGUAUUCCGAAGAGCAUGCUUGUUUGAGUAUCAGUAAACACCUCAAAGCUUUUGGAUUUUUUAAUCGAAAAGCUUUGGACUUGAGCAAUCCCAACACCAAUCUUUUUGAGAUCGGUGGCGGGUUGCUUGAAAUGCAGGUGCAGCUGGACAUUCUCCUGAGCUAAAGGCAUAUUCAUUUAGUCCCGUCAAACGGAUUAUUACUUUUGCUGCAGCUAACAUAAAGGGAGUUUGACCGUAUUGGCUGACUGAUGCAGGAUUUCACAAGGGUCGGCAACGAUUCUUGUUAAACUCGAUCUCAAAUCAAGUAAGACUACCCGCUGAACUUAAGCAUAUCAAUAAGCGGAGGA